GUCGCUCCUACCGAUUGAGUGAUCCGGUGAACCAUUCGGACUGCAGCAAUGUUUGGAUCCCGAGCGUUGCAGCGGAAAGUUUCGUGAACCUUAUCACUUAGAGGAAGGAG
rnacentral:rRNA from 1 species